rnacentral:misc_RNA from 1 species
GUUGAAGAAGAAAAAGAAAGGAAAUACCCUAAAGAUUGAGCAUGCAAGAGCUAACCGACCAAAAAUGACGAGAAUUUCCAAAGAAGAGUGAAAGCGAAAGGAGACACAACAAAGGGUCAAGCAGGGAAGUAGCAGUCCAGUUUCCUUCUAGUUUCCAGAUUCUCCACCCAAAACCAAACCCAUUGCACCUCCUGCUAUUAUAAAUAUAAUAAAUCUUGCUUAACAUUUCAUACCCAAGAAACAGCACUUGAAGUUCCUUCUCAGUUAGGGUUGUGCAAACACCAAAACUAGGGGAGAAGCAGCAAUUUAAACAAUCAUGGGUGACAACAAGAAGCAGAAGAAGGCUUUCCCUGUUCUUAAGUUAUUCAAGCCUCGGAAACCUUGCAGAGAAGAAGAUGGUUCUAGCCAUGGUAUGCGGUCUGGGAAGGUGCGGCCUAGCGAUGAAGAUGACAGUCCAUGGCCUGCUGAUCCUCGCAUAAAUGAUAAAGCUUCGGCUUUUAUUGACCGUAUCAAGGCAACCCACUUCUUAGAAUCCUGAUGCAAUAAUUUUUAGGAUAGUAAGCCCUUUCAUGCUUGUGUAACCUGUAUGUGCUAUAGUCAUAGUUCCGUUUCAAUUUGUUGCCAGUAACCUGCAUAUUGAAGUAUUAUAGGAACUUGUUGAUUGCCUAUUUUUUCAUAUGAAUUCUCUUUCUUCAAGACUGAUUACUACUUUCAUAUAAAGCUCAAUUUAUUUGAAGCUUUCAAUUUCUGUUACUGGGCUAGAGUGAAGAAUUCUU